UAGGGAAUCUUCCACAAUGGACGCAAGUCUGAUGGAGCAACGCCGCGUGAGUGAAGAAGGUUUUCGGACCGUAAAGCUCUGUUGUUGGUGAAGAAGGAUAGAGGUAGUAACUGGCCUUUAUUUGACGGUAAUCAACCAGAAAGUCACGGCUAACUACGUGCCAGCAGCCGCGGUAAUACGUAGGUGGCAAGCGUUGUCCGGAUUUAUUGGGCGUAAAGCGAGCGCAGGCGGAAGAAUAAGUCUGAUGUGAAAGCCCUCGGCUUAACCGAGGAAUUGCAUCGGAAACUGUUUUCUUGAGUGCAGAAGAGGAGAGUAGAACUCCAUGUGUAGCGGUGGAAUGCGUAGAUAUAUGGAAGAAUACCAGUGGCGAAGGCGGCUCUCUGGUCUGCAACUGACGCUGAGGCUCGAAAGCAUGGGUAGCGAACAGGAUUAGAUACCCUGGUAGUCCAUGCCGUAAACGAUGAGUGCUAGGUGUUGGGAGGCUUCCGCUUCUCAGUGCUGCAGCUAACGCAUUAAGCACUCCGCCUGGGGGAGUACGACCGCAAGGUUGAAAC
rnacentral:rRNA from 1 species